UGGUCCAGCAGGCAGUUGAUAAGGUGAAACUUAUCCGAGAGCGACUAUUGGCAGCCCAGAGUCGACAGAAAUCAUACGCUGAUAAACGGCGUCGUCCUUUGGAAUUCCAGGUUGGUGAUUGGGUAUUUCUAAAGGUAUCGCCUAUGAAAGGCGUAAUGCGAUUCGGCAGAAAGGGUAAGCUUAGUCCGCGUUAUAUUGGGCCUUAUCAGAUUAUUAGAAAAAUUGGGAAUGUCGCCUAUGAGUUAGAUUUGCCAUCUGAUUUGGAAGCGGUACAUCCGGUAUUCCAUGUGUCUAUGCUCCGCAAAUGCAUUGGUGAUCCCUCCAGAAUAUUUCCUGCGGAUGAUAUUCAGGUGACGGAGCAGUUAUCUUAUGAGGAGCAGCCCGUAGCUAUUUUGGACCGUCAGGUACGGAGGCUCCGUAAUAAGGAUGUAGCCUCUGUUAAGGUACUGUGGCGGAACGAGAAUAGGGAGGAAAUGACCUGGGAGUCCGAGGAAGAAAUGAAGAAGAAAUAUCCUCAUCUGUUCCCUAUGCCCACAGUUGGUUUGGAAGAAAGAGGACUUGUUUCUUCAAAUUGACAACUCACUCAAGUGAAGAAGAUUGGAGAAAAAGAUUUUCGACGAAACGGAGAGUGAGCUUGGAUAGGCUUAAAAAGCUCAAAAGGUA